UGGAAAGUGGUGUAGUGGAAGCACUUAGAGUUUUGAUCUCUGGGGCGGGGGUUCGAGCCCCUCCUUUCCAA
rnacentral:tRNA from 1 species